rnacentral:tRNA from 1 species
GGCGUUAUAGUGUAGCGGUCUUAUCACUCGAGAUUUUGACGGGUUUGAUUUCUCGAAACCCAGGUUCGAUUCCUGGUAACGCCU